rnacentral:rRNA from 1 species
UGGGGAAUAUUGCACAAUGGGCGCAAGCCUGAUGCAGCCAUGCCGCGUGUGUGAAGAAGGCCUUCGGGUUGUAAAGCACUUUUGUCCGGAAAGAAAUCCUUGGCUCUAAUACAGUCGGGGGAUGACGGUACCGGAAGAAUAAGCACCGGCUAACUACGUGCCAGCAGCCGCGGUAAUACGUAGGGUGCAAGCGUUAAUCGGAAUUACUGGGCGUAAAGCGUGCGCAGGCGGUUUGCUAAGACCGAUGUGAAAUCCCCGGGCUCAACCUGGGAACUGCAUUGGUGACUGGCAGGCUAGAGUAUGGCAGAGGGGGGUAGAAUUCCACGUGUAGCAGUGAAAUGCGUAGAGAUGUGGAGGAAUACCGAUGGCGAAGGCAGCCCCCUGGGCCAAUACUGACGCUCAUGCACGAAAGCGUGGGGAGCAAACAGGAUUAGAUACCCUGGUAGUCCACGCCCUAAACGAUGUCAAUUAGUUGUUGGGGAUUCAUUUCCUUAGUAACGUAGCUAACGCGUAAGUUGACCGCCUGGGGAGUACGGUC